rnacentral:lncRNA from 1 species
GUUAUCACUAUGUACAGUAGUAGAGGUAUUAUCACUAUGUACAGUAGUAGAGGUGUUAUCACUAUGUACAGUAGUAGAGGUGUUAUCACUAUGUACAGUAGUAGAGGUGUUAUCACUAUGUACAGUAGUAGAGGUGUUAUCACUAUGGACAGUAGUAGAGGUGUUAUCACUAUGUACAGUAGUAGAGGUAUUAUCACUAUGGACAGUAGUAGAGGUGUUAUCACUAUGUACAGUAGUAGAGGUGUUAUCACUAUGGACAGUAGUAGAGGUGUUAUCACUAUGUACAGUAGUAGAGGUGUUAUCACUAUGGACAGUAGUAGAGGUGUUAUCACUAUGUACAGUAGUAGAGGUGUUAUCACUAUGUACAGUAGUAGAGGUGUUAUCACUAUGUACAGUAGUAGAGGUGUUAUCACUAUGUACAGUAGUAGAGGUAUUAUCACUAUGGACAGUAGUAGAGGUGUUAUCACUAUGUACAGUAGUAGAGGUGUUAUCACUAUGUACAGUAGUAGAGGUGUUAUCACUAUGGACAGUAGUAGAGGUGUUAUCACUAUGGACAGUAGUAGAGGUGUUAUCACUAUGUACAGUAGUAGAGGUGUUAUCACUAUGGACAGUAGUAGAGGUGUUAUCACUAUGUACAGUAGUAGAGGUGUUAUCACUAUGUACAGUAGUAGAGGUGUUAUCACUAUGUACAGUAGUAGAGGUGUUAUCACUAUGUACAGUAGUAGAGGUGUUAUCACUAUGAACAGUAAUAGAGGUGUUAUCAAUAUGAACAGUAGUACAGGUGCUAUCACCCUGUUAUAUAAAGAUGUUCUGCAUUUUUUGACACAGAAAUCAACUGUACUAGUCGUUAAGGCUCUGGUCUUGAUUACUGUCCGGUUAUAUGGUCAGGUGCAGCAAUGAAAGACCUAGCAAGGCUGCAUCUGGAUCAAAACGGAGCAGCACGCCUUGCCCUUAACUACGCAUACAGAACUAACACCAACAACAUGCCAGUCCUUCCUGGUUGAGGGUUGACGAGACUUCUUUCCAUGAGAAAUAUUACUGCAAUGAAAAUUCCAGAUUUUCUGCGUCAUCAAAUAACAUUCAGCUCAGACACCCAUACAUACCCCACAAGACAAGUCCAAAACGAAUUCACGGCAACGCACGGUGUUAUACAGAGCCAUGAUCGCAUGGAACUCCCUUCCAUC